UUUAUAGCAGCAUUAUCAACAAUAGCCAAACUAUGGAAAAAGUCCAAUGUCCAUCAGCUGAUGA